UACGUAGGGUGCGAGCGUUGUCCGGAAUCAUUGGGCGUAAAGGGCUCGUAGGCGGUCCAUCGCGUCGGGAGUGAAACGCUGGGGCUUAACCCCAGUCCUGCUUUCGAUACGGGUGGACUAGAGGUAGGCAGGGGAGAAUGGAAUUCCUGGUGUAGCGGUGAAAUGCACAGAUAUCAGGAGGAACACCGGUGGCGAAGGCGGUUCUCUGGGCCUAAUCUGACGCUGAGGAGCGAAAGCGUGGGGAGCAAACAGG
rnacentral:rRNA from 1 species